rnacentral:lncRNA from 1 species
UUUGUUUUUGAAUAAUAUAAUCAGUGAGAAAAAUUAUAAACAAGAUUUUACUUAUGUAUGUUUUUUUUUUAAAGUGUGUACAAGUGGAAGGUGUAACCGAUCGUCUCGAACUCGAAGUGAGUCUAAAAGGAAAUAUAGAAUGAUUUGCUGUUGUCCCGGCUGCAGGACUGGUUUUCCCAAGUCGAAGAAAAAGAAACUUGAGGAUCAAAGAGGGAAAGUCGUUCUCUCCAUAAAUUUUCUAAAGAUCUUGAACUUUUAAUGUAAUGAAUUAUAGCAAUUAGAAGCCAAAAUUAGGAGCCAUACCAUAAUUCAAGAAUUUGUAGUAUGCAUGUUACGGAGAAAGAUUUUAUGAAUGAAAGAACAGAUACUAAUUCUUUUCGAAACCAAAGAAGAAGACUCAAAGCAGAUUCUAUUCCAACAAUAUUUUCCGAUGUUCUAGGGUUCCAGAAAGUUCCUGAGGGACCGACUAAAUUAGUUUCUUCAACUAUUAGAUUUGAACGAGAUAAAAGUCGACUUAAUAAUCAAAUUCGCCAAUUUUUAAAAUAAGACGUUAUCACAAAAAUCAAGGAUAUUAAGGAGAAGCUGGAUAGAUCAUGCUUUCCGGAAGGCAUUCAUGAAAUAUCGAAUGAAGAAUACACAAUUUAUUUUGCUCUAUCUUAAGAUAUUUUUUCUACCAUUUUAUAUGGCUAGAAAGUGGAAAAUGAUUCUUCUUACUCUAUUUUCGCCAAUGGUUUUCCCCUUUAUCUAAUAUCGAAGUGAGUCAUAUUUGUUCCUCAAAUAUCUUGAGUCGUUUAUCCGACGUUUGCAACAUUUGGUUUAUCUGAAGUCUAAAUUGUGUGUUGGAGUCGGAGAUAUUCAAAAUACUGGAGUCGGAGUCGGUCAUUUUAUUUACAGACUCCGCAGCUCUGUUAUAUACCUAGUCCAGCGAUAUGACCUUAUUCAUAUAUUAUAUGAAUUUUAUAAUAUAUUUCUAGUAGGGCAGAAUGCCCGCUGAAUGAAGAUAUAGGUGUAAUUUAUUUAAAUUGAAGAAAAUAAAUUGGUUACUUUUA